GACAGAGGGUGCAAACGUUGUUCGGAAUUACUGGGCGUAAAGCGAGUGUAGGCGGUGUGGUAAGUCGGAUGUGAAAGCCCCGGGCUCAACCCGGGAAGUGCACUCGAUACUGCCACGCUAGAGUAUCGGAGAGGUUGGUGGAAUUCCCAGUGUAGAGGUGAAAUUCGUAGAUAUUGGGAAGAACACCGAGGCGAAGGCAGCCAUCUGGACCGGACACUGACGCUGAGGCGCGAAAGCGUGGGGAG
rnacentral:rRNA from 1 species